CUGGAUAAAGCACACCACGUGAUGGAGCACAGCAACAUGGCCACCUCUGCUAACCACUACAGAAUCUCAAGACAAACUUAACCACAAAGCUUUUACCGUCUUAAUACCUGAUGUACACCACGGAAGAUCUAUUGAGGCACUGCAACAUCAGUUGCUGAAAUCUUCCAUCAGGUUUGAAGAUUUCUGGAGUACAAUAAAAAUGGACACCGAAAUUGCUUAAGUAACUCAGUGCCCUCUUACAGCAAAUUCAAUUUAGGUGCUUUACUGAUGUGUGUCGGCACAUCUACCAUCAUUCCACCAUGUGCCAAAAGCUAUCACAUCCCAAUCACCCUGCAAAAGGCCAGUGAGAGCCUGCAGCUCCUAACAUGACUUGCUAAUACACCAUGAGGUUCUAAGCA